rnacentral:rRNA from 1 species
CUUGCUUUUGUAACUUAGUGGCGGACGGGUGAGUAACGCGUGAGCAACCUGCCUUACAGAGGGGGAUAGCCAUUGGAAACGAUGGAUAAUACCGCAUAACGUAUUCGCAUGGCAUCUUGUGGAUACCAAAGGAGCAAUCUGCUGUAAGAUGGGCUCGCGUCCGAUUAGAUAGUUGGCGGGGUAACGGCCCACCAAGUCGACGAUCGGUAGCCGGACUGAGAGGUUGAACGGCCACAUUGGGACUGAGACACGGCCCAGACUCCUACGGGAGGCAGCAGUGAGGGAUAUUGCACAAUGGGCGAAAGCCUGAUGCAAGCAACGCCGCGUGAGGGAUGACGGUUUUCGGAUUGUAAACCUCUGUCUUCGGUGAUGAUAAUGACAUUAGCCGAGGAGGAAGCCACGGCUAACUACGUGCCAGCAGCGGC